GGGUUGUGAGGUUAAGCGACUAAGCGUACACGGUGGAUGCCCUGGCAGUCAGAGGCGAUGAAGGACGUGCUAAUCUGCGAUAAGCGCCGGUAAGGUGAUAUGAACCGUUAUAACCGGCGAUUUCCGAAUGGGGAAACCCAGUGUGACUCGUCACACUAUCAUUAACUGAAUCCAUAGGUUAAUGAGGCGAACCGGGGGAACUGAAACAUCUAAGUACCCCGAGGAAAAGAAAUCAACCGAGAUUCCCCCAGUAGCGGCGAGCGAACGGGGAGGAGCCCAGAGCCUGAAUCAGCAUGUGUGUUAGUGGAAGCGUCUGGAAAGGCGCGCGAUACAGGGUGACAGCCCCGUACACAAAAGCGCAUGUGCUGUGAGCUCGAUGAGUAGGGCGGGACACGUGGUAUCCUGUCUGAAUAUGGGGGGACCAUCCUCCAAGGCUAAAUACUCCUGACUGACCGAUAGUGAACCAGUACCGUGAGGGAAAGGCGAAAAGAACCCCGGCGAGGGGAGUGAAAAAGAACCUGAAACCGUGUACGUACAAGCAGUGGGAGCCCCACCACUAAGCCAGUGGUGAACUCCACAUACGCAUCCUUUGCUGAGGAUACGGUUAACGGAGCGAAAGCGACGUUCAACCGCAAAAGAAGCAGAGGGGGCUUAGUGGUGGGGUGACUGCGUACCUUUUGUAUAAUGGGUCAGCGACUUAUAUUCUGUAGCAAGGUUAACCGUAUAGGGGAGCCGUAGGGAAACCGAGUCUUAACCGGGCGUUAAGUUGCAGGGUAUAGACCCGAAACCCGGUGAUCUAGCCAUGGGCAGGUUGAAGGUUGGGUAACACUAACUGGAGGACCGAACCGACUAAUGUUGAAAAAUUAGCGGAUGACCUGUGGCUGGGGGUGAAAGGCCAAUCAAACCGGGAGAUAGCUGGUUCUCCCCGAAAGCUAUUUAGGUAGCGCCUCGUGAAUUCAUCUCCGGGGGUAGAGCACUGUUUCGGCUAGGGGGCCAUCCCGGCUUACCAACCCGAUGCAAACUGCGAAUACCGGAGAAUGUUAUCACGGGAGACACACGGCGGGUGCUAACGUCCGUCGUGAAGAGGGAAACAACCCAGACCGCCAGCUAAGGUCCCAAAGUCAUGGUUAAGUGGGAAACGAUGUGGGAAGGCCCAGACAGCCAGGAUGUUGGCUUAGAAGCAGCCAUCAUUUAAAGAAAGCGUAAUAGCUCACUGGUCGAGUCGGCCUGCGCGGAAGAUGUAACGGGGCUAAACCAUGCACCGAAGCUGCGGCAGCGAACGUAUCACCCAAGACAACUUUACGGAGUUGACGAUUGACGGAGCGAAGCGACGUCAAAGCGUUCAUUAAAGUCGAGUUGGCUUAGGGAUACGUUCGUUGGGUAGGGGAGCGUUCUGUAAGCCUGUGAAGGUGUGUCGUGAGGCAUGCUGGAGGUAUCAGAAGUGCGAAUGCUGACAUAAGUAACGAUAAAGCGGGUGAAAAGCCCGCUCGCCGGAAGACCAAGGGUUCCUGUCCAACGUUAAUCGGGGCAGGGUGAGUCGACCCCUAAGGCGAGGCCGAAAGGCGUAGUCGAUGGGAAACGGGUUAAUAUUCCCGUACUUGGUGUUACUGCGAAGGGGGGACGGAGAAGGCUAUGUUGGCCGGGCGACGGUUGUCCCGGUUUAAGCGUGUAGGUGUGUGUUCCAGGUAAAUCCGGUUCACUUUAACACUGAGGCGUGACGACGAGGCACUACGGUGCUGAAGCAACAAAUGCCCUGCUUCCAGGAAAAGCCUCUAAGCAUCAGGUAACAUCAAAUCGUACCCCAAACCGACACAGGUGGUCAGGUAGAGAAUACCAAGGCGCUUGAGAGAACUCGGGUGAAGGAACUAGGCAAAAUGGUGCCGUAACUUCGGGAGAAGGCACGCUGACACGUAGGUGAAGUGAUUUACUCAUGGAGCUGAAGUCAGUCGAAGAUACCAGCUGGCUGCAACUGUUUAUUAAAAACACAGCACUGUGCAAACACGAAAGUGGACGUAUACGGUGUGACGCCUGCCCGGUGCCGGAAGGUUAAUUGAUGGGGUCAGCGCAAGCGAAGCUCCUGAUCGAAGCCCCGGUAAACGGCGGCCGUAACUAUAACGGUCCUAAGGUAGCGAAAUUCCUUGUCGGGUAAGUUCCGACCUGCACGAAUGGCGUAAUGAUGGCCAGGCUGUCUCCACCCGAGACUCAGUGAAAUUGAACUCGCUGUGAAGAUGCAGUGUACCCGCGGCAAGACGGAAAGACCCCGUGAACCUUUACUAUAGCUUGACACUGAACAUUGAGCCUUGAUGUGUAGGAUAGGUGGGAGGCUUUGAAGUGUGGACGCCAGUCUGCAUGGAGCCGACCUUGAAAUACCACCCUUUAAUGUUUGAUGUUCUAACGUGGACCCGUAAUCCGGGUUGCGGACAGUGUCUGGUGGGUAGUUUGACUGGGGCGGUCUCCUCCUAAAGAGUAACGGAGGAGCACGAAGGUUGGCUAAUCCUGGUCGGACAUCAGGAGGUUAGUGCAAUGGCAUAAGCCAGCUUGACUGCGAGCGUGACGGCGCGAGCAGGUGCGAAAGCAGGUCAUAGUGAUCCGGUGGUUCUGAAUGGAAGGGCCAUCGCUCAACGGAUAAAAGGUACUCCGGGGAUAACAGGCUGAUACCGCCCAAGAGUUCAUAUCGACGGCGGUGUUUGGCACCUCGAUGUCGGCUCAUCACAUCCUGGGGCUGAAGUAGGUCCCAAGGGUAUGGCUGUUCGCCAUUUAAAGUGGUACGCGAGCUGGGUUUAGAACGUCGUGAGACAGUUCGGUCCCUAUCUGCCGUGGGCGCUGGAGAACUGAGGGGGGCUGCUCCUAGUACGAGAGGACCGGAGUGGACGCAUCACUGGUGUUCGGGUUGUCAUGCCAAUGGCACUGCCCGGUAGCUAAAUGCGGAAGAGAUAAGUGCUGAAAGCAUCUAAGCACGAAACUUGCCCCGA
rnacentral:rRNA from 1 species